GCCGAAGCUGCUCCACAUAUACAGAAAUGAAUGGUCAUGCAUGAAUUUGCAUUAAUUUUUUUUUUUUUGUGGAAGUCCAGAGCCUCUGUAGGUGCUAGGUAUGUAGUGUGUAGUGCAUUUUUGUAGACGAUGUUGUUUUGGUGCAACCAAAAACAAAACACAAAAGCAAAGCUGUGCCCCCCACUCCACGCCCAACAGCUCCUGCCAGCGGCCCUCACAGUCAUCACUGGUGCCAUUCCUACUAGGAUUAUAUUCCUUACUGCCUUAGAGACCACAAAAGCGGCUACUCUCAGGUUGGUUGAGCCAUUCAAAUUGUCCGAACCGACACAGGCAGCCACAGCAAAUGGAGUUGCCGGCAUGGCAGCAGCAGUUUGUUCUCAGGCCAUAUUUGUUCCAAUUGAUGUGGUUAUAUGGUGCAAGGAUAGUCAGGCCAUGCGACCUAUAAUGGGGGACUAGAUGUUGCUCGCAAGGUUUUGAAGGUGGAUGGCAUUCGGGGACUAUACAGGGGGUUCGGUCUAUCGGUCCUGACUUAUUCCCCAUCUAGUGUUGUAUGGUGGGCAAGUUAUGGUUCAAGCCAACGCUUGAUCUGGAGGUCAUGGGACACGAAAAGAAACAUACUGUAAGAGAAGUUGUUAAAGGAUUAGUUGCGGAUGAUGGCUGGAAAGGUUUAUACAGAGGACUCGGUCCAAGGUUUUUCACUAUGUCAGCAUGGGGAACCUUGAUGAUACUUUCCUAUGAAUAUUUGAGUAGGGACUUUUCUUUCACACUGUUAUUAUAUAGCAUCAUAUUUGUUGUUGUUAUUAUUAUGCAGAAUGAUGAGAUUGCUAAAACAUUUGUGGAUUUGAUCAUUGUGAAUUAUUGUAUUGGAAAGUUUAAACCUGUGAGUUACCCUUUGUUCUCUUCUUAUAAUCAUGCUCAAUCAAUUUGAUUAAUAGUGUUUAUUCUUCUUUUUUGUACAGAACGCUUGUGUGUGAAAGAUCAAUAGAUUUUUGGCCUUGAACAACAAAGAAUUGGUUUGCACAGUCAACUGGGAUUUCAUUCGCUAAAGAAGAUAGUUUUGCUUGGUAUUUACAGGAAUGCUUACCCGGGCAUCCACACAUAUAAACUCAACAAAUUGUAACCCUUGUUAAAUUGACUGGGUUACCUUCAUACCUAUUAAAACUGGAUUACUUCCUGAUUUCCUGGAAGGCUUUGUAAGAUCAAUCUUUAAUUCUUUUUAGCUCAUUUCUUAUUGCAUUCUUGGGCUAUAAUUGAACCGAUUUGUAUCUGCAAUUUGUGUAUUCUUAAAUCAUAGAAUUUCAUUAUAUA